AUCCAGCUGACGAGUCUCGAAUAGGACAAAAUGUGCGUCCUGGAU
rfam:Schistosoma haematobium scaffold1994_1, whole genome shotgun sequence.